rnacentral:piRNA from 1 species
UAUUGAGUCUCUGUGAUUGGUGUAUGC